GCCCGAACUGCAGUGCCCUCUGUCACCAACUGCUUUCCUCGUAACCGAUUCGCAAUUAUGGUGAACUAUUGCGUCGUGCUCCUGUGUGUUGUAGCUGUCGUUGAUGGCUGAGUCGACUGCUGGUGUAGCGAUGUCUCCUUGGUAUGGCGGAAACCAAACCGUAACGCCGCCGCCUUCCUACUCAACUUACGCAACGACCACUUCCUGCACCGAUGUCUUCAAGUACUACACCACCAAACCACGGGAGUUUUAUACCACAACUUACACUGCCCCGAGCCACUACACUGAUGCCCUGAAGUAUUACUCUGCCCUGAGUUACUACACCAUCUAGGCGACGGAUGACACCACAUGACUACGUAUAUUGCCUAUCCUACUACACGAGGCUUCUAACUGCUAUACCGAGGCUCCCGCUGAUGUCUCCACCAAGACGGUCGAAUACUACACUGAAGCGACAAAGUACUACUCUGCCCCGAUCUACAUAACCACAACUGAGGCGGCCAAGUAUUACGCAGUCCCGACUUGCUACACCAAAGCUGCUCUUUCGUGCUGCGUCGAACAGAAUUACUACAUUGAUGCUCCAGUCUACUACACCACGACCUACACCUAGCUACAACACCGCAGACCCCAAGCACUACACCGAAGAAGGCGUCCAUACACAACUACGUACGCUGCCUAGUUUACUACAUCGAGGAAUUUAAGUAUUACUCUCCUCCAAACUACUACCAAACUGAGUUUCAUAUGUAUUACAUCAGCAAUUCUCCCCACCUUGUCACCACUAUUUACGCUACUCCGAGCUAUAUACCGAAUUUCUAAAGUAUUUUUUUGAUGUGUUGAAAGAUUGUUGAAAUACAAGAUUGAUUCAUAAAUCACAA